AACGCUGGCGGCGUGCCUAACACAUGCAAGUCGAGCGGGAAAUUCGGAAGUGAGGCUUCGGCGGAUCUUCUGAAUGGAGAGCGGCGGACGGGUGAGUAACGCGUAGGUAACCUGCCUCGUACAGAGGGAUAGCCACUGGAAACGGUGAUUAAUACCUCAUAACACUGCGGUAUCACAUGGUACUGCGGUCAAAGAUUUAUCGGUGCGAGAUGGACCUGCGUCUGAUUAGCUGGUUGGUGAGGUAACGGCUCACCAAGGCGACGAUCAGUAGCCGACCUGAGAGGGUGAUCGGCCACAUUGGAACUGAGACACGGUCCAAACUCCUACGGGAGGCAGCAGUGGGGAAUAUUGCACAAUGGGCGCAAGCCUGAUGCAGCAACGCCGCGUGAAUGAUGAAGGCUCUUGGGUCGUAAAAUUCUGUUCUCAGGGAAGAAAGAAAUGACGGUACCUGAGGAGAAAGCCCCGGCUAACUACGUGCC
rnacentral:rRNA from 1 species